ACGACCUCAACUCAAGCAAGACUACCCGCUGAACUUAAGCAUAUCAGUAAGCGGAGGAAAAGAAACUAACUAGGAUUU
rnacentral:rRNA from 8 species